rnacentral:rRNA from 1 species
CUUGUAGGUGGUCUGUCGCGUCUGCUGUGAAAAUCCGGGGCUCAACCCCGGACUUGCAGUGGGUACGGGCAGACUAGAGUGUGGUAGGGGAGACUGGAAUUCCUGGUGUAGCGGUGAAAUGCGCAGAUAUCAGGAGGAACACCGAUGGCGAAGGCAGGUCUCUGGGCCAUUACUGACGCUGAGAAGCGAAAGCGUGGGGAGCGAACA